UAGGGAAUAUUGCGCAAUGAACGAAAGUUUGACGCAGCGACGCCGCGUGAGGGAUGAAGGUCUUCGGAUCGUAAACCUCUGUCAAGAGGGAAGAAGUGUAGCAGCUCUAACAUAGCUGUUAUUUGACGGUACCUCUAGAAUAAGCCUCGGCUAACUACGUGCCAGCAGCCGCGGUAAAACAUAGGAGGCGAGCGUUAUCCGGAAUUACUGGGCGUAAAGCGCGUGUAGGCGGUCCUGCAAGUCUGAUGUGAAAGCCCCGGGCUUAACCCGGGAAGUGCAUUGGAAACUGUGGGACUUGAGUACUGGAGAGGAUGGGGGAAUUCCACGUGUAGCAGUGAAAUGCGUAGAGAUGUGGAGGAACACCAAUGGCGAAGGCAGCCCCCUGGGUCGAUACUGACGCUCAUGCACGAAAGCGUGGGUAGCAAACA
rnacentral:rRNA from 1 species